rnacentral:rRNA from 1 species
UGCCAGACUCCUACGGGAGGCAGCAGUGGGGGAUAUUGCACAAUGGGGGGAACCCUGAUGCAGCGACGCCGCGUGGGUGAAGGAGCGUUUCGGCGCGUAAAGCCCUAUCGGCAGGGAAGAAGGAGGACGGUACCUGACUAAGAAGCCCCGGCUAACUACGUGCCAGCAGCCGCGGUAAUACGUAUGGUGCAAGCGUUAUCCGGAUUUACUGGGCGUAAAGGGAGCGCAGGCGGCGCGCCAAGUCUGAUGUGAAACCCCGGGGCUCAACCCCGGGCAUGCAUUGGAAACUGGCGGGCUGGAGUGCCGGAGAGGUAAGCGGAAUUCCUAGUGUAGCGGUGAAAUGCGUAGAUAUCAGGAGGAACACCGGUGGCGAAGGCGGCCUGCUGGACUGCGACUGACGUUGAGGCCCGAAAGCGUGGGGAGCAAACAGGAUUAGAUACCCGAGUAA